CCUACGGGAGGCAGCAGUAGGGAAUAUUGCACAAUGGGGGGAACCCUGAUGCAGCGACGCCGCGUGGAGGAUGAAGCGUUUCGGCGUGUAAAGUCCUAUCGUCAGGGAAGAAGAUGACGGUACCUAACCAAUAAGCACCGGCUAACUCCGUGCCAGCAGCCGCGGUAAUACGGAGGGGGCAAGCGUUACCCGGAUUUACUGGGCGUAAAGGGGGCGGAGGCGGGAAAGCAAGCCAGGAGUGAAAGCCUGUGGCCUAACCCCGGGACUGCUUUUGAAACUGGAUGUCUGGAGUAUGGGAGGGGUAGGUGGAAUUCCUGGGGUAGGGGUGAAAUGCGUAGAUAUUAGGAGGAAUACUGAUGGCGAAGGCGGCCUGCUGGAACGUGACUGACGCUGAGGCGCGAAGGCGUGGGGAGCAAACAGGAUUAGAUACCCUAGUAGUC
rnacentral:rRNA from 1 species